AACGCAAGAACCUUACCAGGUCUUGACAUCGAUGGAACAUCUGGAGACAGAUGGUGCCCUUCGGGGCCCUGAAGACAGGUGGUGCAUGGUUGUCGUCAGCUCGUGUCGUGAGAUGUUGGGUUAAGUCCCGCAACGAGCGCAACCCUUAUGUUUAGUUACUAACGCGUAAAGGCGAGGACUCUAGACAGACUGCCGGGGACAACUCGGAGGAAGGUGGGGACGACGUCAAAUCAUCAUGCCCCUUAUGACCUGGGCUACACACGUGCUACAAUGGCCACUACAGAGAGAAGCGAAGCCGUAAGGUGGAGCGGAUCUCAAAAAAGUGGUCCCAGUUCGGAUUGAGGGCUGCAACCCGCCCUCAUGAAGUCGGAGUUGCUAGUAAUCGCGAAUCAGCAUGUCGCGGUGAAUACGUUCCCGGGUCUUGUACACACCG
rnacentral:rRNA from 1 species